UUGCAGCGAUAAAACAAAGAAGAAAAAGAAGGAUCAGACAGAUUGCUUUUAGGGGGUGUUGUCAUUGACACACGUGUUCACAAAACAGCCUGUUUCCACACAUCUUUACAAUUCAUAGCCUGUUUUCUCUACGCACAACAACAACUUUGGUCUGUGUUGAACAUAAAAAGGUUCCGGAUUCCCA